GUAACACGUAUACAACUUACCCUUCACAGGAGGACAACCUGGAGAAAUUCGGGCUAAUACUCCGUACGAUUAUAGAGUGGCAUCACUUUAAGAUGAAAGCUACGGUGGUGAGGGAUGGGUAUGCGUCCGAUUAGCUAGUUGGCGGGGUAAAGGCCCACCAAGGCUACGAUCGGUAGGGGUUCUGAGAGGAUGGUCCCCCACACUGGCACUGAGAUACGGGCCAGACUCCUACGGGAGGCAGCAGUAGGGAAUAUUGGGCAAUGGUCGGAAGACUGACCCAGCCAUGCCGCGUGCAGGAGGAAGGCCCUCUGGGUUGUAAACUGCUUUAGUAGGGGAAGAAAAAGUCCAUGCGUGGACAAUUGACGGUACCCUAAGAAUAAGCACCGGCUAACUACGUGCCAGCAGCCGCGGUAAUACGUAGGGUGCGAGCGUUGUCCGGAUUUAUUGGGUUUAAAGGGUGCGUAGGCGGCCUAUUAAGUCAGUGUUGAAAUUUCGCAGCUUAACUGUGGGUACGGCAUUGAUACUGGUUGGCUUGAGUGCGCUCGAGGUACUUGGAAUUUAUGGUGUAGCGGUGAAAUGCAUAGAUACCAUAAGGAACGCCGAUAGCGAAGGCAUGGUACCAGGGCGCAACUGACGCUGAGGCA
rnacentral:rRNA from 1 species